AGAUGUGAGGGCAAUCUGGCUGCAACAUCUGCCACCCUAUUGAUCAUCAGGGUUGAUCUGGCUGAUCAGGCUGGGUAGGCAGGUGUUCCCUUUCUCCCUCACUGCUCCAUGUGCAUCCCUCCAGAAGAUGUAUACUUGGUCAAAGAGGAUGGCCUUCUCUGAUAAAGAAGGACCUUUCUUUGGUUAAAGAUGUACAAGUAACUGCACUCCCCUGCUAGAAUCUCCAAACAAGCUCUUGGGGUCCAUUUGUAGGAGAAUAUAGGGUAGUCAAGCUUCCAAGACUCCAGACACAUCCAAAUGAGGCACUGCAGGUGGCAGUCUGCCUUUUUUU
ensembl:misc_RNA 7SK 7SK RNA